rnacentral:rRNA from 1 species
ACGGAGGGUGCAAGCGUUAUUCGGAAUUACUGGGCGUAAAGCGCGUGCAGGCGGGGAGGCAAGUCUGAUGUGAAAGCCCCGGGCUUAAACCCGGAAGGGCAUUGGAAACUGCUUUUCUUGAGUGCUGGAGAGGAAGGGGGAAUUCCCGGUGUAGAGGUGAAAUUCGUAGAGAUCGGGAGGAACAGCAGUGGCGAAGGCGCCCUUCUGGACAGCAACUGACGCUGAGACGCGAAAGCGUGGGGAGCAAACAG